rnacentral:misc_RNA from 1 species
GAAAUGCGAUAAGUAGUGUGAAUUGCAGAAUUCAGUGAAUCAUCGAAUCUUUGAACGCACAUUGCGCCCCUCGGUAUUCCGUGGGGCAUGCCUGUUCGAGCGUCAUCUACACCCUCAAGCUCUGCUUGGUGUUGGGCGUCUGUCCCGCCUCCGCGCGCGGACUCGCCCCAAAUGCAUUGGCAGCGGUUCCUUGCCCCCCUCUUUGCGCAGCACAUUGCCAUUCGAGGCGGCGGCGGCCCGUGUCCAACAAGCUCAACCCCCCCGUCUUUGACCUCGGAUCAGGUAGGGAUACCCGCUGAACUUAAGC